UGGGGAAUCUUCCGCAAUGGACGAAAGUCUGACGGAGCAACGCCGCGUGUAUGAUGAAGGUCUUCGGAUUGUAAAGUACUGUCAUUGGGGAAGAACGGUUUUCUUGAAAAGAUUGAGAAGACAUGACGGUACCCAAGGAGGAAGCCCCGGCUAACUACGUGCCAGCAGCCGCGGUAAUACGUAGGGGGCAAGCGUUGUCCGGAAUUAUUGGGCGUAAAGGGCGCGUAGGCGGGCCUUUAAGUCCGGUGUGAAAGAUCAGGGCUCAACCCUGAGAGUGCAUCGGAAACUGGAGGCCUUGAGGACAGGAGAGGAAAGUGGAAUUCCACGUGUAGCGGUGAAAUGCGUAGAUAUGUGGAGGAACACCAGUGGCGAAGGCGACUUUCUGGACUGUAACUGACGCUGAGGCGCGAAAGCGUGGGGAGCAAACAGGAUUAGAUACCCUGGUAGUCCACGCCGUAAACGAUGAGUGCUAGGUGUAGAGGGUAUCGACCCCUUCUGUGCCGCAGUUAACACAAUAAGCACUCCGCCUGGGGAGUACGGCCGCAAGGUUG
rnacentral:rRNA from 1 species